rnacentral:rRNA from 1 species
GACGAACGCUGGCGGCGUGCUUAACACAUGCAAGUCGAACGGAAAGGCCCUGCUUUUGUGGGGUGCUCGAGUGGCGAACGGGUGAGUAACACGUGAGUAACCUGCCCUUGACUUUGGGAUAACUUCGGGAAACUGGGGCUAAUACCGGAUAGGAGCUCCUGCUGCAUGGUGGGGGUUGGAAAUUUUCGGCGGUUGGGGAUGGACUCGCGGCUUAUCAGCUUGUUGGUGGGGUAGUGGCUUACCAAGGCUUUGACGGGUAGCCGGCCUGAGAGGGUGACCGGCCACAUUGGGACUGAGAUACGGCCCAGACUCCUACGGGAGGCAGCAGUGGGGAAUAUUGCACAAUGGGCGGAAGCCUGAUGCAGCAACGCCGCGUGCGGGAUGACGGCCUUCGGGUUGUAAACCGCUUUCGCCUGUGACGAAGCGUGAGUGACGGUAAUGGGUAAAGAAGCACCGGCUAACUACGUG